AUUGAACGCUGGCGGCAUGCUUUACACAUGCAAGUCGAACGGCAGCGCGGGCUUCGGCCUGGCGGCGAGUGGCGAACGGGUGAGUAAUACAUCGGAACGUGCCCAGUAGUGGGGGAUAGCUCGGCGAAAGCCGGAUUAAUACCGCAUACGACCUGAGGGUGAAAGCGGGGGAUCUUCGGACCUCGCGCUAUUGGAGCGGCCGAUGGCCGAUUAGCUUGUUGGUGGGGUAAAGGCCCACCAAGGCGACGAUCUGUAGCUGGUCUGAGAGGACGACCAGCCACACUGGGACUGAGACACGGCCCAGACUCCUACGGGAGGCAGCAGUGGGGAAUUUUGGACAAUGGGCGAAAGCCUGAUCCAGCAAUGCCGCGUGUGUGAUGAAGGCCUUCGGGUUGUAAAGCACUUUUGGCGGGAACGAAAAGGACUGUGCCAAUACCACGGUUCGAUGACGGUACCCGCAGAAUAAGCACCGGCUAACUACGUG
rnacentral:rRNA from 1 species